AAAGUAGGUUUCUACGGACAAUUCUCUGAUCCAGGUUGCGUGACCGAUAUAUUGUGACGUCAUAAUCACUGUUUUGCUGCAGCCUUAAAAAACCCGUACAACGCAGUGUACAGUAUAGACGAGAUCGUAAAUAGAAUUAAUAAAUAGAGCUAUAGAGUUAAUUAAUUAAAAAUGCCAAGCUGUGUAGCAAUAGGCUGUUACAACAACAGCACAAAAAAAGCGCUUGUUUCGCUUUUCCAACACCGAUCCAUUGCGAAGAAAUAAGUAAAUCGUUGCUUGUAAGAGGAAGGCAAAAGAUGGAUCUGACUGGAAUCCAACAAGCAAACACACCUAUAUUUGCGAGGAUCACUUUAUUACAGGACAACCCUCAUUGGAAGAGUGCCAUCCAGAUUUUGUGCCUUGCAUGUGUCUGCAUCUUUGAUGACAACCCAAGGGACAUGUUUUGGACUGUUUAAGCGCUGGGAUGGCAUCACCUCUGCUGCAAAGACUGUGCAGCUGCAAUUUUCCGACCGUGUUUUUAUCGUUCUUACUUCACCAACCCAUCCACUUGAGAAGAAAUUAUAAGCCUCAAGACUUUUUCUGUUUCUUAUUUUCUCUCGGGUAAACACACCAGGAGAGUUGACCAAGUAUUCGUAAAUUUCGGAGUAUUCCAAUGAUGGCCAAAUACUCGGAUUAUUGGACCAUACAAAAACAUUCUUUAUUGUCACAUGAUCUAUCAAAGGUUUGAAGUCGCAAACAAGUUGCUAAUAAAAUUAAAUAUUUACAGUU